GUUGGAGAAGGAAUUGCAGAAAACAUGUUCCUUACUUUGCUAAGAGGUUAACCAAAUGGACAAAUGGACAACCAGGGAAUUUCCUGUGAGCUCCAUUCUGAGUGGACAAUGCAACAUCCUGGUUUGUCUUUUUGAUCAUGGCGUGCAGACAAUCCAGCAAUUCUUAGGUUCUCUCUCUUGGACUUGUUUUCCAGAAAUCUGUUACUUUGUGAAAAUCAUUUGCUUACACUUACAGUAGACCAUGGCCAGAUUUGAAGAGAAAAUGGAUCUCUUUUUUUUGGUAAGAAACCUUUGUAUUCUAAAUUUAAU
rnacentral:lncRNA from 1 species